rnacentral:lncRNA from 1 species
AACUUGACUCAGAGCAAUGACUUAGUUGCCAGUGAUAGAUAAGUAGAGAUUGCUGGCUGGCUGAAUGGAUGGAUGGAUAAAUGGAUGGAUGAAUGGAUAGAUAGAUAGAUAGAUAGAUAGAUAGAUAGAUAGAUAGAUAGACAGACAGACAGACAGACAGACAGAGAGAUGAUAGAUUGAUGGAUUCAAAUACACCCCAGCAUACAUACCUCCACACUGAUCAUACAGACACAUUCAGGACAGCAUAGGAGUUAAGACUGAAGGCUCUGAGGCAUCCGUUUAAACCUACCUGCUCCACACAUCUCUAGUUGUGUAAUCUUGGAUGAGUUAGUUGACCCGACUCAGCAUUUUUCAAAAGGAAAAUGAGAAUAAUAAUUGUACCUGUCUUGUGGGACUGGGAGGAUUCAGUGAGAGCCACAGCUCAGUGCCUGGCAGAGAGUAAGUGUUCAGGAACUACUUACUUACAUUAUACCCGCUUUGCACCCACUUGUAAGCACAUAUCCAAAUCAGAACCUCUCCUAAACUUGGCUAAUGCACACAUAUGUGCAGAUAUGCCCACGCUGGCAGAAGUAUAGGCCAACACGUGGAGGUGGCAUAGAGCAGUGACUGGGAGUACUUCCAGGAGCCAGACAGGUCAAAUCCAAGCCCUGCCAUUUACCAGCUCUAUGACUUGGAGUAAGUUACUUAACCUUGGCUUUCUCAUCUUUAAGAUGGUUGCAAUAACAGUAGGCCCUGCUUUAUGGGCCUAUUGUGAAUGUUAAAUUAGUUAAUAUUUAUCAAACACACAGUGUUUGAUAAACAGAAAUAAAUCUCACAAUCUUGUAAGCUAAUACCCGUCCAGCUCCUAGAGUUUGCGGAGCACUGUCACGUGUAUAAGCUCAUAGAUCAUCUCAAUAAACUCUAAGACAGGAUUAUUCUCACCCCAUUUACAGACGAGGAAACUUGGGCUAAAAGAGACCAAUGAUUUGUACAAAGCCUGGCAGCAAAUGAGAAAGUGAGUGAUAGAUAAGCCAAGUCUCUGACUUUAAAUUCCAUGUCCUUUUCACUAAGAAACAUACCCCGGAAUGUGUGUGUCGGUAUGUAAAUUAAGGAAAAUUUCUCUGCCUUUGUAUCGGACUCCCCAACCUUCCCUCAUCCCCCCAUCUCUGCUUUUAAGGUCCCCACCCCUAGGGACUGGUCAAAGCAGUAGUUCCCAAAGUGUGGUCCUGGUCCUGUGACAUCAGCAUCAUCCAGGAACUUGUUAGAAAUGCAGAUUCUCAGGGUCCCUCAACUGCCGAAUCAGUAACUGUGGGCAUGGGCUCGGCACCAGGUGCUGUGGAAGUUCAAGAGAACAGGGUGGGCUGGGGGAAAUUUCUGGAAGAGGAGAUGCUGGACCUGGGCCUUGAACAAUGGGUAGAAGAGAGAACUAUGAAGGGUUUGGAAUGAAUACUGUCUGAUGAGCGAGGGUGAGGAGUCUGGCCUGUUGAAGCAAAGGUUUCAGCCGUUUGGUGCAUGUCUUUUGGUCUCUCCUGGAUACCGUAUUCUGCUCAGUGACCUGUCCUUGAGUAUGUGGAGGGAGGCUUUGCAGGGAUUUGUCCACUAUAGAUUAGCCCCAGCAGGUGCCUCCUGUGGGGUGGGAACAUUGCCAGAGCAGGGGAUGCCCUCCUACCACCACAUCCCCUAGAUAUGCCCCCAAAGUGUCAGCCCCCAGCCCUGAAUGAGUGCAAGGGAUGCCAGCCUCAUUCUCAUCAGGCCCAGAUUCACAAAAUGAGGGGGUGUUUUGCAAGGGGAAGGGGGGUGGGGGAGCUUCUGCAGCCUUCUCCCCACUUCUCCUCUGGGGCGUGAGCCAGGGCCAGCAUGGUCACUGGAGCAGCGGGGGGCCCUGCCCAGCCUGCCGCUCCCUCUACAUAACCCCGCGUGUGCACAUGAGGCUGAGACACUGGGUUGGGAAGAGUCCAGGGGAGCUGGCCAGGGGCUCUGAGGCUGGAGAAGAGCAAAGCCGAAUCCCAGCCCCCUUCCCAGCCCCCUGUGUCCUGCCCGGGCUGCCACUGGGAGGCUAAUGAAAAGGGAAGAGGCUGGCCGGGGCUUGGGCCAGCAGGAGACAGCAAGGGGACAAUGUGAGGCAGGAGGGGGGUGGCCCUCAGGCAGGGACAGACAAUGUCCCCAUAUGGGAAGCAGACGGAGCUGCCCCGCCCCUCCUUGGUCCCGAGCCUCUGCGCUGAGCCAGGAAAAGGAGCAGAAGGAGGGGAGCUCUCAGUUCAGCAAGUGUCCCAAGGAGGACGCCACAGGGGGUGUGGUACCAGAAGCACACCCGCGGCCCUCACGUGUGUACACACACACACACACACACACACAGGCAAGUCACUUUCUGGUUUUUCUAAAUAUUUUUCUAUUUCACCACAGUCCAUGCCCAAAGCAGAGGAGUAAACAAUACCAAAGCAUGCAGAGUAAAAUACGAAAAUUCUCCCAUAGCCCACAGUCGCCCCGCCCCUGCCCCCUGACGUCCUCUUUCAGAAGCAAUUAGUUUUAACACUCGCCUUCAAGAAAGGCCACUUUCUUUUGUGAGGCUCUGCUGCAGUCAUGGUCAUAGUCUGGUCAAGCCGGGCUUUCCCUGAAGACUAGCCCUGCAAGGGGGCGGGUGGCGGGGCAGCAGUGCGGACCUAACACAGUUCUCCUCUGCCCCUCGUCUGACUGGAAAUCAUCUCUCAAGGUUCCAUUUCUACUGACCUUUACCAUCUCUCAAGAACUAAAAAAAUCUCUCUUCAUCUCUUAAUGCGAAGCCCCAUUUUUUAGUUUCAUAAGUAUCUCCCUGUCUUUAAAUUUUAGUUCAGCUUGUUUGGGUUUGCUCAUAAUUUUUUUUUGCUAGUAAUCAAAAGGUGUGCAUGGACCUUUUUUAGAAUCUCCCAGUCGUUUUGAGCAUCCAGCCCCAGACAGGCUCUCCCCUUGUGAAACCAAGCAGGCCCCUGUGGGCUCCUUCACACACAAGUCUUUCUGUGUCCCCCAUUUCUUAUUUUUAGGGAAUAAACUUAAGCCUCCAUGACCUUCUCUGAGUUCCAAAGGGGAGGUUCAAAGAGUUGCUAAUGAGGGAAGGGAGGGGAUGCAGAGAUGGGAGGAAUAGUCAAAACACAAUAGUGCAGGAGUUCCCUUCGUGGCUCAGUGGUUAACGAACCCGACUUGGAUCCAUGAGGAUGCAGCUUCCAUCCCUGGCCUCAUUCAGUGGGUUAAGGGUCUGGCGAGCUACGGUGUAGGUCGCCAGUGUGGCUCGGAUCUGUCGUUGUUGUGGCUGUGGCAUAGGCCUGCAGCUGUAGCUCCGAUUCAACCCCUAACCUGAGAACUUCCAUAUGCUGUGGGUGUGGCCCUAAAAAGCAAAC